CGGGGCUGUGGUAGCCGGCCAUCCCGGCACCGAUGCCGACGGUGGGCAGUCCGGCGGCGGCGUAACGGCGGUUGUCCGAGGCGACCGGCCCCGCC
rnacentral:tRNA from 1 species